rnacentral:rRNA from 1 species
AUGAAUUGCAUAAUAUGGAACUGUCGCGGGCUUGGGAACCUGGAGACAGUUCAGGAACUUCACCAGUUGGUGAGCUUGGAAGCGCCCUCCCUGGUCUUCUUGUCUGAAACAAAGAUUGAGGGGAACAGAGUAGCAGAUUUACAUGCAAGGUUAGGUUUUGAAGGGUGUAUACCGGUCAGUAGCGUCGGUUUGAGCGGCGGACUUGCCCUUUUAUGG